rnacentral:rRNA from 1 species
AAAUUGAAGAGUUUGAUCAUGGCUCAGAUUGAACGCUGGCGGCAGGCCUAACACAUGCAAGUCGAACGGUAACAGGAAGCAGCUUGCUGCUUYGCUGACGAGUGGCGGACGGGUGAGUAAUGUCUGGGAAACUGCCUGAUGGAGGGGGAUAACUACUGGAAACGGUGGCUAAUACCGCAUAACGUCGCAAGACCAAAGAGGGGG